UAAUUAAAUGCAGGGGGUCUA
rnacentral:piRNA from 1 species